UCCUCUCCGGAGUUUGUCCGGGUUUGAACGGACGUUUUGUGCUACUUCCAUGGAAACUGCCAAAAGUGCCCCUCGGGAACGCGAGGCUGAGCCGGAGGGGAAGCACAGGCGGCUCCUGGCGCGUGCGCUGAUCCCAGCCUGGGGCAGGACGCGCCAUCUGCCCUCCCCAGGUCCCAGUCCCUUCUCCAGCCUGUCCCAGUCCCUCUGAAUGGUCCCGUCCUCGCCAGCACCGACUGCUCUUCCCAGUCCCGGUGUCCCAUCAGCCGGGUGGCCAGUAAGGACAGUAUUGAUCCUGAGGGAUGGCACUGCUCCCUGGGUGCCAGCUGGACUUUGUGCCCUGGCCACAGUCCGGCAGCCUGGCCAGUUCUCCUGCUCGUUCCCAAUCCGCUCCCUAGCUCACUGGUUUGGCCACGAGGAUCCGAUGGAAGCUGUGCUAAAAGCCUUGCUGAAGCCAAGCCUGGACCCGGCGCGGACGGAAAGCUCCCUCCAGAGGGUCACUCCACGCCAUAACCUUUGUGGGCUCCCUGGAGGAAACUGAUGUGCUAUUCCCUGGAAGUGAUCGAGCUCCAGCUGAGCUUCCAUCUUCCUCGCUUCUCUCGACGUGACCCAACAAGAUCCUUGCACUCUUCCUGAGUUCCCUGCCCCAUCUUCCAAGGUCAUAAAUGCUUUUUUCCCCCCUUUAAUUCCAGUGAAAGCUCCUCAUUCAGCCAGGCCAGUCUUCUGCCCUGCUGGCUCAAUUUUUGGCACGUCCUGUGCCUUUGA